rnacentral:rRNA from 1 species
UACGUAGGGACCGAGCGUUUGUCCGGAAUCAUUGGGCGUAAAGAGCGUGUAGGCGGCUCGAUAAGUCUGCUGUGAAAGUCCAGGGCUCAACCCUGGAAGGCCGGUGGAAACUGUCGGGCUAGAGUCCGGAAGAGGCGAGUGGAAUUCCCGGUGUAGCGGUGAAAUGCGCAGAUAUCGGGAGGAACACCAAUGGCGAAGGCAGCUCGCUGGGACGGUACUGACGCUGAGACGCGAAAGCGUGGGAGCAACAGG